rnacentral:rRNA from 1 species
GAGAAGCGUAGCUGAUGGGAAGCUGGUUAAUAUUCCAGCACCGAUUUCAAGUGCGAAGGGGGGACGGAGUCCUGAAGGUCAUCCGGGUGUUGGAUAUCCCGGUUUACGAGCGUAGGAGGUUGACAGGCAAAUCCGUCAACGGAUCUCCAAGGCGAAGGAUCGAGGUUGAGAGAUCAACUGAAGUGACUGAAUGGGCUUCCAGGAAAAGCCUCUAAGCAUCAGCUUGGAAUUGACCGUACCGCAAACCGACACUGGUGGGCGAGCUGAAUAUGCUCAGGCGCUUGAGAGAACUCAGGAGAAGGAACUCGGCAAAUUGACACCGUAACUUCGGGAUAAGGUGUGCCUUUGUAGUGUGAAGAGAGAAACACUCCGAGCAUGAAGAGGCCUCAGAGAAUCGGUGGCUGCAACUGUUUACUAAAAACACAGCACUCUGCAAAGAUGAAAGUCGACGUAUAGGGUGUGAUGCCUGCCCGGUGCUGGAAGAUUAAUUGAUGGGGUGCAAGCUCCUGAUCGAAGUCCCAGUAAACGGCGGCCGUAACUAUAACGGUCCUAAGGUAGCGAAAUUCCUUGUCGGGCAAGUUCCGACCUGCACGAAUGGCAUAAUGAUGGCCACACUGUCUCCUCCUGAGACUCAGUGAAGUUGAAAUGUUUGUGAUGAUGCAAUCUCCCCGCGGCUAGACGGAAAGACCCCAUGAACCUUUACUGCAGCUUUGCAUUGGACUUUGAACCGAUCUGUGUAGGAUAGGUGGGAGGCAGUGAAGCUAGGACGCCAGUCUUAGCGGAGCCAACCUUGAAAUACCACCCUGAUUUGUUUGAGGUUCUAACCUAGGAGCGUAAUCCGCUUCGGGGACCGUGCAUGGUAGGCAGUUUGACUGGGGCGGUCUCCUCCUAAAGGGUAACGGAGGAGUGCGAAGGUACGCUAGGUACGGUCGGAAAUCGUGCUGAUAGUGCAAUGGCAAAAGCGUGCUUGACUGCGAGACCGACAAGUCGAGCAGAUACGAAAGUAGGUCAUAGUGAUCCGGUGGCUCUGCAUGGAAGGGCCAUCGCUCAACGGAUAAAAGGUACUCUGG